rnacentral:lncRNA from 1 species
UGGGAAUUUCAAGGGAUUGGGAAAAGUGGGAAUGUCACGGGAUUGGGAAAAGUGGGAAUGUCACGGGAUUGGGAACAGGAAAAGUGGGAAUGUCACGGGAUUGGGAAAAGUGGGAAUGUCACAGGAUUGGGAAAAGCGGGAAUGUCACGGGACUGGGGCAGGAAAAGUGGGAAUGUCAUGGGAUUGGAGACAGGAAAAGUGGGAAUGUCAUGGGAUUGGGAAAAGUGGGGAUGUCAUGGGAACGGGAAAAGUGGGAAUGUCACGGGAACGGGAAAAGUGGGAAUGUCACGGGAACGGGAAAAGUGGGAAUGUCACGGGACUGGGGCAGGAAAAGUGGGAAUGUCAUGGGAACGGGAACAGCGGGGAUUGGGAAAAGUGGGAAUGUCACGGGAUGGGGACAGGAAAAGUGGGAAUGUCACAGGAUUGGGGAAUGGAAAAGUGGGAAUGUCACAGGAUUGGGGAAAGCAGGAAUGUCAUGGGAUUGGAAAAAGUGGGAAAGGCCAGGGAUUGAGAACAGGGCUGGAUCCGUCCAGCAGGACUGAGAUCCCUCAGGAAGGGCUGGGAUCCCUCAGGAAGGGUUGGGAUCCAUCAGGAAGGGCUGGGAUCCCUCAGGAAGGGCUGGGAUCCCUCAAGAAGGGCUGAGACCCCUCAGGAAGGGCUAGGAUCCAUCAGGAAGGGCUGGGAUCCCUCCAGCAGGGCUGGGAUCCAUCAGGAAGGGUUGGGAUCCCUCAGGAAGGGCUGGGAUCCCUCAGGAAGGACUGGGAUCCAUCAGGAAGGGCUGAGAUCCCUCAGGAAGGGCUGGGAUCCCUCAGGAAGGGUUGGGAUCCAUCAGGAAGGACUGGGAUCCAUCAGGAAGGGCUGGGAUCCCUCAGGAAGGGCUGGAAUCCCUCAGGAAGGGCUGGGAUCCAUCAGGAAGGCUCAGGAUCCCUGGGGAUGGGGCAGGGCCAGCCCCAGGUGCCCCCGUACCUGUAGAUGUCACACUCGGCCAGGCAGAUCUCCUCAUCCACCGCGUCCCACAGCAGCGGCUUCAGCGCCUUGAAAUCCUCGCGCACGGCCGAGAACAGGCUGCAGUUCAC